AGAGUUUGAUCCUGGCUCAGGGUGAACGCUGGCGGCGUGCCUAAGACAUGCAAGUCGAGCGGGGCAGGUUUAUACCUGUCCAGCGGCGGACGGGUGAGUAACGCGUGGGUGACCUACCCGGAAGAGGCGGACAACCUGGGGAAACCCAGGCUAAUCCGCCAUGUGGUCCUGUCCUGUGGGGCAGGACUAAAGGGUGAAUAGCCCGCUUCCGGAUGGGCCCGCGUCCCAUCAGCUAGUUGGUGGGGUAAAGGCCCACCAAGGCGACGACGGGUAGCCGGUCUGAGAGGAUGGCCGGCCACAGGGGCACUGAGACACGGGCCCCACUCCUACGGGAGGCAGCAGUUAGGAAUCUUCCGCAAUGGACGGAAGUCUGACGGAGCGACGCCGCUUGGAGGAGGAAGCCCUUCGGGGUGUAAACUCCUGAACUGGGGACGAAAGCCCCGUGUAGGGGGAUGACGGUACCCAGGUAAUAGCGCCGGCCAACUCCGUGCCAGCAGCCGCGGUAAUACGGAGGGCGCGAGCGUUACCCGGAUUUACUGGGCGUAAAGGGCGUGUAGGCGGCCUGGGGCGUCCCAUGUGAAAGGCCACGGCUCAACCGUGGAGGAGCGUGGGAUACGCUCAGGCUAGAGGGUGGGAGAGGGUGGUGGAAUUCCCGGAGUAGCGGUGAAAUGCGCAGAUACCGGGAGGAACGCCGAUGGCGAAGGCAGCCACCUGGUCCACUUCUGACGCUGAGGCGCGAAAGCGUGGGGAGCAAACCGGAUUAGAUACCCGGGUAGUCCACGCCCUAAACGAUGCGCGCUAGGUCUUUGGGGUUUACCUGGGGGCCGAAGCCAACGCGUUAAGCGCGCCGCCUGGGGAGUACGGCCGCAAGGCUGAAACUCAAAGGAAUUGACGGGGGCCCGCACAAGCGGUGGAGCAUGUGGUUUAAUUCGAAGCAACGCGAAGAACCUUACCAGCAGGACUUUACCCACAUCUCCGUUUCGUGGUAAAUCUCCCCUUGCGGGCGCAGCCCGUAUCUGGUACCGGGGGUGAUCCAUGGACAUGCUCAAGGUGGCCGAGGCCAGGCUCCAGGAGUUCACGGGCCGUUUUGCGAGCGUUUUCCCCCGAUAAGCGCCUCCACCGACGGUUUGAAGAGGUGGUGCGGGGCGCCUUGGCCGCAGGCUCAGCCCGGGUGAGCGAGAUGGUGGCCUCGCUCCCUUCUCCCCUCCAGAACCGCUUCCACCAGGCCAAAGCCCUUUACCGCUUCCUGUCCAACCCACGGGUGGAGGCAGAAGCCCUCCUUGACCGGGUCUAUCAGGAGAGCGCGACUGCCCUGGAGGGUGAGGAGGUUCUGGUCCUCCUGGACCUGAGCCCGGUGGCCAAGCCCUAUGCCCGGGCCCUGGAGGGGAUAGCCCGGGUGGGGAAGGAUAGGCGGCCCGGGUACGAGCUCCUCACCGCCCUGGGGUUGGACCCCGCGGGGCGGCUGGCCCUGGGGUACGCCCACCUGGUGGCCUACGGGGAGAGGGGGUUUGCCAGCCUGCCCAAGGAGGUGGAGGGAGCCAUUGAGGCGGCCCGGGAGCGAUUGGGGGGCGUGGGCAGGAGGCUGGUGUAUGUGGCGGACCGGGGGUUUGACGACCGGAAGGUGUUUGGGCAGGUGCUGGCCCUGGGGGAGGAGUUCGUGGUGCGGGUCUACCGGGACCGGAAGCUUGGGGAGGGGGGUUCUCUGGCGAAGGUGGCUUCUUCCCUGGCCCUUCCCUGUGGGGAGGAGGUGGAGCUGAGGGUAGGGGGCAGGUACCAGCGGGUGCGGCUCCACUUCGGAUGGAGGGAGGUGGAGGUGGAGGGGAGGCGGCUCCACCUGGUGGUCUGCCGGGUGCCAGCCCUGGGGCGGCGUGGGGAGUGGUGGCUACUGACCAGCUUGCCGGUGAGGGGGAGGGAGGAGGCGGCGCAGGUGGUGGAGGCGUACCGCAGGCGGUGGGAGGUGGAGCGGUUCUUCCGGCUUUUGAAGACGGGGCUGGGGCUUGAGACCUUCCAGGUGCGGGGGCUUGCCCGGAUCCGGAAGGUGGUGGCGGUUUUGCUGGGGCUGGCGGUGUUCCUUUGGGAAGUUGAGCGGUUGGGGGAUCCGUUCAAGGGGUUUCUUUUGCAGCUCGGGGGCAAGCUGGGGCUGCCCAGCGAGAGGGAUGGUCCGUACCUGCUCCUGAGGGGCCUGGUUCGCCUGCUCAACUAUGAAGUCACCCAAGAACUCUUGAAGCAGGCUAAGGGAGGGCGAGGAAGGAGUUUUGGGUAAAGCCCUGUUACCAGGCCUUGACAUGCUAGGGAACCUAGGUGAAAGCCUGGGGUGCCCGCGAGGGAGCCCUAGCACAGGUGCUGCAUGGCCGUCGUCAGCUCGUGUCGUGAGAUGUUGGGUUAAGUCCCGCAACGAGCGCAACCCCUGCCCUUAGUUGCCAGCGGGUUGGGCCGGGCACUCUAAGGGGACUGCCUGCGAAAGCAGGAGGAAGGCGGGGACGACGUCUGGUCAUCAUGGCCCUUACGGCCUGGGCGACACACGUGCUACAAUGCCCACUACAGAGCGAGGCGACCCAGUGAUGGGGAGCGAAUCGCAAAAAGGUGGGCGUAGUUCGGAUUGGGGUCUGCAACCCGACCCCAUGAAGCCGGAAUCGCUAGUAAUCGCGGAUCAGCCAUGCCGCGGUGAAUACGUUCCCGGGCCUUGUACACACCGCCCGUCACGCCAUGGGAGCGGGUUCUACCCGAAGUCGCCGGGAGCCUUAGGGCAGGCGCCGAGGGUAGGGCUCGUGACUGGGGCGAAGUCGUAACAAGGUAGCUGUACCGGAAGGUGCGGCUGGAUCACCU
rnacentral:rRNA from 1 species